UACGUAGGGUGCAAGCGUUAAUCGGAAUUACUGGGCGUAAAGCGUGCGCAGGCGGUUAUGUAAGACAGAUGUGAAAUCCCCGGGCUCAACCUGGGAACUGCAUUUGUGACUGCAGGGCUGGAGGCCGGAAGAGGAGGGUGGAAUACCCAGUGUAGAGGUGAAAUUCGUAGAUAUUGGGUGGAACACCGGUGGCGAAAGCGGCUCUCUGGUCCGGACCUGACGCUGAGGCGCGAAAGCGUGGGGAGCAAACAGG
rnacentral:rRNA from 1 species